rnacentral:lncRNA from 1 species
AAAGUGCUGAGAUUAUAGGUAUGAUCCACCAUGCCUGGAAAAAAAGUCAUCAGUUCAAUCCAAAGUUUGAUUAGUUUUCUUUUUCCCCAAAGGUGUCUCCACCCUCUUCAAGUUAUGCCUUUGGAAUGGACCAUAAAACCGCAUUUCAAUUCUGGACCUGUGGACCUGUGAAGAACUAUUGAAACAGCUGUAGAGGAACUGUACUGGAGGCAGUAAUGGCUCCUUUAGUGGCAGAGAAUAGAAAGCUCUUGAAAACAAAGCCUAUUGUCAGGAGACUUGCACCCAUCCUGGCCUACUUCCAAGUAAUAUGUACAACAAAAAUAUGGAAUAAUUCUCAGAAGCUCACAUUUAAACAUGGGAUAAUGUGGAGGCACAGGGUAAAAUAUUUGUCUGGUUAGGAGCAUGAGUUUCUCGUCGUAAUUCAGUGGAGGUAAGUGGAUGCUUUGGAAAAGCAUAAAGUGUCACUUUAGUUUCACUUGCCUGAGGUAUCAUUUAAUCAGCAAGCACAGUUAAUAAUUUUGCUUUUCUAUUUGUCAAGAUCUCAAUAUUUUUUCAAUAUGAAGUCUGCUCCAGUGUACUUUACAUGACACUUUAUAAUUAGUGGUACUUGAGAAUUUGGCAGUUUUAAAAAUUCAUGCAACAUUCUUAGUUACAAUUUAUAAAUGAUUUUAAAGUAUAAUUAACAUUCAUCUUUACAAGUUAUAUGCAAACAAAUAUGCAAAUUCAGAAAUAAAUAUGCAAACAUAUAAAAUGUUUUUGAAUUAAGUAGUCCUUAACAUUUUUAAUGAAAUCAAUAUUUUAUUCAUAUUUUGCACACAAUUUUGAGUACUUACUGAUUUGGGGGGUCUGCAGCAUAUAUGCUUUUGCAUAUUGUAGCCUCUAACUACCAGCAACAGGAAGGAAAUGAGAAUGAAGUUUUUUUUCUUUUCUUUGGAGACGAAAACUGAAGGCUGAUUUAGUAGAAAAAUCCCGUAGAUGCUGUUGAGUGGAUUAUCGAUGCAAUUAAAAUGGCUCCUUAAACUCUUAACCUUAUAAGGAACUUCUGCUUCCUUAGAUGACAAAACUCUUAUGGAUCUCAAGAAGACAAAGUGGAGGGCAUCAGCCAAUUGCCCCCUACUUUCUCAUGUGGCUACAAAGGCCAACAGAUUGAGUCAGUAACUAUGUAUUUUUAACAUGUUAAAGUCUGAAAGCAGAAGAAGGCAGAAUUCAGUACAAAAUGAACAAAUAAUUAUUGGGAAAAUGCACCUUAUAUGGAGAAGUCGCUAUGCAAGAGUAUAGAUUCAAAAUUUAGUCAUUCUGAUUUUAAAAAUGAUCUCUUCUAAAGAGUUAACUGAUUGAAGAUCUUAGUUCACUCAUUCAACAAACGCUCAUCUUUUUAGGCUCCGUUUCCAUUCGUCCUCUGCAAGGAAGAUUUUUCAGUACCAGAGUCCUCUGUCUCUGAAAUCUUGUUGGAUUAUGAGUUAACCGGGCAAUGGUUUUUUUUAUGUGAACACCAUGGGCAAGGAAUACGUUCAGUGCUAGUGGGAGUCCAAAGAAGUAUCAAAUAAUUAACUAGCAUCACACAGUUUAGCUAAAAUGUUCUCCAAUUUUUACAGGUAUGCAUGCUUUAUUAUCAUUUUCAAAUGAGAAAAUUCUUGAGGGAAAAACUUUAUUUAUACAAGAGACAAUGAGAAGAAUUUGUUUUUUGAGUGGCAUCUCUGAUGAAUUAGUAGUUGCUCACUGGUAUGCUCUGUAAAGAAUGGUUCUGAGGCUGUGGCAUUAGCAGUACCAGCACUGCCAUGUUUUUGUUAUUCUUGCUCAAUCUUUUUUCUAAGAAUUAGCAUUUCUUUUACUAGAGAAUGAGGGCUUCAUGACUCAUUUAAUUUCCCCUUGUAACUGCUAGAAAUUCGGCAGAGAGUUUUGAUAUAAAUUUCUUCUUUUAUUGCUUGACUUUUUUCUUUUAUUUUGUAUGUCAUGUUACUGUACUGUAGUUCAUUUUUGAUAGCUGGUUGCUUUAAGUCUUUUUGAAAGAAACAAAUCAUUACAUAUACUUACUUCUUUCUAUAAGUUUUAUGGUGCCUAGCAUAGGUCCAGGACCCUAAGGAGGCAUAGAAUAAAUGCACUUUGAAUGGAGAACACUGAAAGGUCCCAUAUGGUAGAUGUACAACGAUGCAUGAUGCAUGAAUGAGGAAGUGAAUGAAUAAAUGAGUUCAGACGGAAUUUGAACCAUGAGAAAAAUCAUGAUGGUUUGUGAUUUAUCAAGGAAAGCAGCUGAUGAAUCUUGGCUGAUGCCUUAAAAAGCACAGAAUGAUGAUUGGAAGAAGAGGAAAUGGCUUAGAGGAGAAUAGAGGUUUAGCAAGAAGAAUUUAAAAGGACAGGAGCCAUCAUGUAAUAAUAUUUGAUUCCUCUCUGUGGGCAUAUUUGCUUGUGUGGAAUAUAAAAUUUCAGAGAGCAAGAAUUUUUAAACAUUAAUUUAGAACACAUUAGUGUGGCCUUCCACAGAGUAUACCUGGGUGUUUUUAGGUUGUUUGAAGAUGACCCGCUUACCUAUAUUAUUUCAAGUUCAAAAAUUAAAAAUUAUAGGGUAUGAUAAUUUGAACUUGUAGAUUUAGGGU